rnacentral:rRNA from 1 species
GAUGAACGCUAGCGGCAGGCUUAACACAUGCAAGUCGUGGGGCAGCGCGAGGUAGCAAUACUUUGGCGGCGACCGGCAAACGGGUGCGGAACACGUACGCAACCUUCCUCAAAGCGGGGGAUAGCCUCUCGAAAGAGAGAUUAAUACCCCAUAGUAUCGUCAGAUGGCAUCUGAAGACGAUUAAAGCUCCGGCACUUUGAGAUGGGCGUGCGGCUGAUUAGGUAGUUGGUAGGGUAACGGCCUACCAAGCCGACGAUCGGUAGCUGAUGUGAGAGCAUGAUCAGCCACACGGGCACUGAGACACGGGCCCGACUCCUACGGGAGGCAGCAGUGAGGAAUAUUGGUCAAUGGAGGCAACUCUGAACCAGCCAUGCCGCGUGAAGGAUGAAGGUCCUCUGGAUUGUAAACUUCUUUUAUAGAAGAAGAAACCCCAUUUUUCUAAGUGGGUUGACGGUACUCUAUGAAUAAGCACCGGCUAACUCCGUGCCAGCAGCCGCCGUAACAC